rnacentral:rRNA from 1 species
CUACGGAGGAUGCGAGCGUUAUCCGGAUUUAUUGGGUUUAAAGGGAGCGUAGGUGGGAUAUUAAGUCAGCUGUGAAAGUUUGGGGCUCAACCGUAAAAUUGCAGUUGAUACUGGAUAUCUUGAGUGCAGUUGAGGCAGGCGGAAUUCGUGGUGUAGCGGUGAAAUGCUUAGAUAUCACGAGGAACUCCGAUUGCGAAGGCAGCCUGCUAAGCUGCAACUGACAUUGAGGCUCGAAAGUGUGGGUAUCAAACAGGAUUAGAUACCCUGGUAGUCCACACGGUAAACGAUGAAUACUCGCUGUUUGCGAUAUACAGCAAGCGGCCAAGCGAAAGCGUUAAGUAUUCCACCUGGGGAGUACGCCGGCAACGGUGAAACUCAAAUGAAUUGGCGGGG